rnacentral:hammerhead_ribozyme from 1 species
AUCCAUCUGAUGAGUCCCAAAUAGGACGAAAUGAGCGUUGUCCUGCAU